rnacentral:rRNA from 1 species
GAUGAACGCUGGCGGCGUGCCUAAUACAUGCAAGUCGAGCGAACAGACGAGGAGCUUGCUCCUCUGACGUUAGCGGCGGACGGGUGAGUAACACGUGGAUAACCUACCUAUAAGACUGGGAUAACUUCGGGAAACCGGAGCUAAUACCGGAUAAUAUAUUGAACCGCAUGGUUCAAUAGUGAAAGACGGUUUUGCUGUCACUUAUAGAUGGAUCCGCGCCGCAUUAGCUAGUUGGUAAGGUAACGGCUUACCAAGGCAACGAUGCGUAGCCGACCUGAGAGGGUGAUCGGCCACACUGGCACUGAGCCACCGUCCAGACUCCUACGGGAGGCAGCAGUAGGGAAUCUUCCGCAAUGGGCGCAAGCCUGACGGAGCCACGCCGCGUGAGUGAUGAAGGUCUUCGGAUCGUAAAACUCUGUUAUUAGGGAAGAACAAAUGUGUAAGUACCUAUGCACGUCUUGACGGUACCUAAUCAGAAAGCCACGGCUAACUACGUG